rnacentral:snoRNA from 1 species
ACCCUCUUGUGGUUUGUAAGCUAAGCAUGAUGAUUGUGUUUUACACUCAUUUGUAAAAUGUGCCUUCCUCAAACCUUAUUACCGUGUUGGCACAUUACCUGUCUGAUG